rnacentral:rRNA from 1 species
UUUAUGGAGAGUUUGAUCCUGGCUCAGGAUGAACGCUGGCGGCGUGCCUAAUACAUGCAAGUCGAGCGAACGGACGAGAAGCUUGCUUCUCUGAUGUUAGCGGCGGACGGGUGAGUAACACGUGGAUAACCUACCUAUAAGACUGGGAUAACUUCGGGAAACCGGAGCUAAUACCGGAUAAUAUUUUGAACCGCAUGCUUCAAAAGUGAAAGACGGUCUUGCUGUCACUUAUAGAUGGAUCCGCGCUGCAUUAGCUAGUUGGUAAGGUAACGGCUUACCAAGGCAACGAUGCAUAGCCGACCUGAGAGGGUGAUCGGCCACACUGGAACUGAGACACGGUCCAGACUCCUACGGGAGGCAGCAGUAGGGAAUCUUCCGCAAUGGGCGAAAGCCUGACGGAGCAACGCCGCGUGAGUGAUGAAGGUCUUCGGAUCGUAAAACUCUGUUAUUAGGGAAGAACAUAUGUGUAAGUAACUGUGCACAUCUUGACGGUACCUAAUCAGAAAGCCACGGCUAACUACGUGCCAGCAGCCGCGGUAAUACGUAGGUGGCAAGCGUUAUCCGGAAUUAUUGGGCGUAAAGCGCGCGUAGGCGGUUUUUUAAGUCUGAUGUGAAAGCCCACGGCUCAACCGUGGAGGGUCAUUGGAAACUGGAAAACUUGAGUGCAGAAGAGGAAAGUGGAAUUCCAUGUGUAGCGGUGAAAUGCGCAGAGAUAUGGAGGAACACCAGUGGCGAAGGCGACUUUCUGGUCUGUAACUGACGCUGAUGUGCGAAAGCGUGGGGAUCAAACAGGAUUAGAUACCCUGGUAGUCCACGCCGUAAACGAUGAGU